rnacentral:lncRNA from 1 species
AGAGACGCUGUUAAAGGAAAGGGAAGAUUAUUUGCAAGUGAGUAGAAGAACGAUCCAACAAAAGAAUGAAAUGAAGUAAUUAGUUUCCUGCUAUACAUAAGCACCCUCACUGCUUUAGAAUCUUCAGGCAGUAGUGAUUGAGGAAAAUAAUGACCUUCCCCAUGCAAGGCAGAGUCACCUGCAGCCACUGACCAAUCACAGUGGGCAGAGCUCUGGCAGAACUCGCUAAAGAACUGCAUCUAAAAUGACUUCGCUUAGCAAAGAGCUGUACUUCCAGGCAUCUUGGAAAAGGAGCCUCUUUCUGAGUUUUUGAUGUGAGAUGUCAAAGCGUUGUUGGUAUGAGGAAAUCUACUUGAACUGCUGUUAUUUGACAGCACCGUGUUUAUGAGCUGUAACGCUCACCGAGAAGAUCUGCAGUUUUACUCCUGAGGCCAGCGAGACCACGAACCCACUGGGAGGAAUGAACAACUCUAGAUGCACUGCCUGAAGAGCUGUGACACUCACCAUGAAGGUCCCUGCAGCUUCACUCCUGAAGCCAGCGAGACCAUGAACCCACCAGAAGGAAGAAGCUCCGAACACGUCCGAACAUCAGAAGGAACAAAUUCCGGACACACCAUUUUUAAGAACUGUAACACACACCACGAGGGUCUGCGGCUUCAUUCUUGAAGUCAGUGAGACCAAGAACCCACCAAUUUCGGACACACUGGGAUUACAGGCAUGAGCCAUUGUGCCCAGCCAUGUUUCCUCUUUUGUAUAGCAAGUACCUACCUGUUAGAAUUGUAAGUUUUUAUAAGCUUCUGCAUGAAAGGCACCUGCCAUGCUACCUCAAAAGAUCAUUGUGAAAAUCUCACUCCAGUGGCUCUAGAUUAACGGAACAAGACUAAAACUAAAAGCAGGAAGCCAAUGUGUCGUGCUAUGAUUUGAGGAGGGUACAUACAUAAAAUCCUUGACGCCCUUGCCUGUCCUUUCACAGUUCCUUUCCUUUGAGACUCAACAUUUUUGUCACCUUAAAUGGUUAUCAGAUGAUCCCUUAGCACGCAUUACUUCAAAGAUAGUGGGAGAAAAAAAUAACUGGGUAGAAAGACAACAGGAACACGGUUUGCUUUGGUUCCCUACUCAGAGACCCAUAAGGCAUAUUAGCAUAGUGAAGUCUCCCCUUGAGGAAUAGAUGGGUGAAAAGGUCACGGGGUGGAAAGGAUAGGCUA